rnacentral:lncRNA from 1 species
AAGGCUUUCCUCACUGACCAUCGGCAGCAAUUGUCUUCCCAGCUUCCACUCCCAAGGGUUCACCUCCGCUCCCACAGAGGGUUCUGAUCUUGGGAUUCCUGCUUUGGACACACAUUUUCUUCCAUCUGAAAAUAGGCCCUGAUAGUCGGACAGGGGAUAUAUUAUUUGGAGAGAGAUUUGGCAAUUAACUUUGACAAUUUUGUUUUUUUCCAGCUUCUGAUGACAAUUCCCUCACAUCUGAGCCCCUCUGAGAUGCUGCCCUUGCUUCUUAUAACUCCCUGCCUAGGCAUGAUGUGCAGGCAGCCCUUCGCCCACCUUGCCCACACCCUCCCCGCCCAGGGUUCCUCACCAUGCAUCUCACUGCGAUCUGGGAUCCCUCCCACUCCUCCACCUCCAUCCCACUGAAUCAGCGUCGCCGAUCAGGAGCUGAGACCUGAGAAGCUGUAUAAGAAGCAGACCACUCCCGCGAUUCUGCUGCCCACUGAACUGGAGAAUCAUUGAGUCGGCUGAUCUCUAACCACCGACUCAGAGCCUGCGUUCUAGAAUCGAAAUGUUCCCAGGGAAGGCAGCCUCAAGGGAAUCAACGGACAGCCUCCCACUUGUGCAGGGGUUUUAAUAACCAUUAGGUCUCAGUCUUCCUACCUCAGUGAUUCUCUUCCUUGGCUGCAUGUUGGAAUCAUGCCUGGGGUUUUUUAAAGUUACACAUAAUAUGGUUCCCAGCAGAGAUGAGACAUACGGGCUUUCCCCACCCCGCUUCUCUAAGAAGCAAAAAAUGGCCUUGGAAUCCCAGGCAGUGGUACCACCG